rnacentral:rRNA from 1 species
CGUGCCUAAUACAUGCAAGUCGAACGGUCUUUCUAUGGAAGCUUGCUCCACUGAGAAGAUAGUGGCGAACGGGUGAGUAACACGUGGGUAACCUGCCCAUAAGAGGGGGGAUAACAUCCGGAAACGGGUGCUAAUACCGCAUAGUUUUCUUGGUCGCACGAUCGGGAAAGGAAAGACGGCCUUUGUGCUGUCGCUUAUGGAUGGACCCGCGGCGUAUUAGUUAGUUGGUGAGGUAACGGCUCACCAAGACGAUGAUACGUAGCCGACCUGAGAGGGUGAUCGGCCACAUUGGGACUGAGACACGGCCCAAACUCCUACGGGAGGCAGCAGUAGGGAAUCUUCCGCAAUGGGCGAAAGUCUGACGGAGCAACGCCGCGUGAGUGAAGAAAGGUUUUCGGAUCGUAAAACUCUGUUGUCAGAGAAGAACAAGUUGGAGAGUAACUGCUCCAGCCUUGACGGUAUCUGACCAGAAAGCCACGGCUAACUACGUGCCAGCCGCAGC